GAGAGCCAGGGGGUGGACUGGAGUGAUGGCGGCGGCGUCCGUUUUUGGGUUUUUUUGAAAGGACAAAGAGAAAUUAAAAGGAAAUCAAGGGCACAGGGAGCCAGGAAGAAUUGGAACCCCUCAGCCAGGUUGUCUUCCCAACACGGAUCACUGGCACCAUGGAUCACUGGGGCUCUGCCCACUGGGGGUCACCAGGGAUCAUCCAGCACGGAUCCUCCCACGGGGGAUGGAGCUGGAGCAGCACACAAAGCUCUUCCCACACCCAGGGCACUUGCAGGGCUUCCCUUUGUGGUGCCUCCAUUGGUGUUGGGUCAAGGCUGAGCUCUGGGAGAAGCUCUCCCACACUCGGGAGACUCAGAGGGCCUGUGGCAUCACAAGGAGCAGGGCUGGAUGUCAGGCACCCACCAAAGCUGCUCUCUCCCCUCCAGAGAGGGAGAGGAGAGAGAAAAUAGAAUUAAGUCUUCAUGGGUUGAGUUAAGGGCUGGGACAGAUCUCUCAGCAAAUGCCAUAAUGGGCAAAAAAUUAGAGACGUUAAUUGAAUUUAUUACUAUCAAUCCCAGCAGGAUAGUGAGAAGUAAAAUAAAGCUUUAAAAACACCUUCUGCCCAUCCCUCUCUCCUUCCCAGCUCUACCUCCUCCCCCACUGGGUGCAGGGUGACAGGCACUGGGGGUUCUGGUCAGUUCAUCACCUGUUGUUUUUCCUGCUGCUCGGGGAGAGGAGUUGUUCCCCUGCUGCACCAUGGGGUCCCUCCUGGUGACACUUCUCCAUGAAUGUCUCCAAGGUGGAUUCAUCUCAUGGACAGCAGCUCUUCACAAGCUGCUGCGGCGUGCCUUACUCUCCCACGGGCUCACAAGUCCUGCCAGGUCCCUGCUCCAGCUCAGGCAUUCCCCAGCUCCAGCACGGGCUCCUCAGGUGCUGCAGGUGCAUCUCUGCUCUCCGUGCCUUCUAUGGGCUGCAGGGGCCCAGCUGCCUCACCACAGACUGCACCAGGGAAUCUCAGGGCAAUCAGCUCCAGCCCCUGGAGCAGCUCCUGCCCCUCCUCCUGCCCUGGGGCUGUUCCUCUCACAUGUUCUCACCCUGGUCACAGUUACAACUACAUGAUAAAUCUCUUAUCUCAAAGGCAUUUCUACCUUUUCCAACUGGCCCAGCCUUGGCCAGUGGCUGGUCCUUCCUGGAGCUGGCUGGCAUUGCCUCUGUGGGACACGGAGGAGCAGUUGCUUCCAUCACCCUCUCACAGAAGGUGCUCCUAGAGCCCCCUCUUACCAAACUCCGGCCAUGCAAACCUAGUAUAAGUAUGGUAGGGUUUUAUUACCAUUAUUCAAUCCUAUUAUUGCUAUUAUCUCUAUUUUUGCUAUUAAUAUUACAGUUAUUACUAGUACUUUUUAGUCCUUUUGACUUUUAUAUAUUAAGAGUGUCUGUAGCAGAACUUGAAACAAGAGUCCUUAUUGCAAGUAGAAGUAAUAAUUUUGGCAGCUGCUUGCCCUGCCCUGUUCUGUGUCAGUGCUGUGUGUGAAGCUGCUGCUGCCAGGGCUCUGUAUUCCCCUGGUUUGGGAAAUUCGAUGGCAUUGCUCACAUGUCAGAAGGAGAGGGCUCAUUCCAAUCAAAUGCAUUGCCUGAGCUCUUCUAGCCCAGUGUUGGAACCUUGUUUUGUGAUGUUGUUGACUAUCAGCUUCUGUUAAUAUUUGAGAUUUUAAACCAAAAUGUUCUAGAUGUGAUUUUGCAAGGUUCUGUAGUCAGCUUUCAGUUUUGCUCUUGGAUUUCUUUACAAUGGUCAGAACUGACCACAGCAUUUUGGGUGGUGUGAAAAAAACACGUUCACUCUCCUGUGAAAAUUUUAAAAGUUUAAUAAAGGGCAGUAGGAGACAGGGACCGUAGAGCAAAGGGCACUCAGCCAAGAGCACCCUGUUAUCUUCGGGAUACCCCUGAAAUACCUUUUUUGUUACAUCAGCCUGUUGCAUAUUCAGAGAUCCUUAUGCAUAGUAAACUUUUUCCCCCAAACUAGUUUACAGGUUCCAAGAAUUAUUUAGCAUGGAUCCUCCUUGGGUCCACCUUUUUAGAGCAUGCAUAUUCCUUGGUUGUGGUUUUAGUCCUUUCUUUAUCACCUCCAGUUUUUGGGUCUUGAUCCACACUGUCUUCAUACGGUGAGUGCUGAUAUUUGACAUAUCUGUACAGGUGUCCUCAUCCUGUGUUCAUUGGUUGUUAUCCCAUCCAAGCAGGCAUUUUAACACAAGCAUAGCUAUUUCACUUCUGUGUCUAAUUUCUGAAUUAACAACAGAAAUAAAAACUAUAUAACAAAGUUACUUUAACAUUACACAGAUAAAAUCCAUUUUUUAUUUGCAAAAAGCCAAUAUUAUAAUAUGCAUCCAUAACAGGUGGGGAGCAUUCACUCAGAGAUAGGAUUGUCUCUGCAGCAGCUGGUUUUGCACUUGUUAGCAGGGAUAACAAAGAUUCCAUGAACUGGAUAUUCUGCCUUGUGGCAGAACCUCCAGUGGCUGGCUUGAGCAAGCUGCACUGGGAGCUGCAGGUUGUGCCAGGGGUGGGCAAUGGCCGGAGCCCGUGGCCAGGGGCCAGCAAUGGACACUCAUAAAUGAGAAUUGUACCAUCUAAAUCUCUUUUUCUAAUAAGAAUUUAUUUGAUUAAAAAGCAAGCAGUGGCAAGCAAAGCACAGCACUGGGUGGCCGAGAGUCUCGCUCUCCUAGGCACACAUUGUUCCAUCCCCAAGGUUUGUCUUUUAUUGCCUUCUUCUCCUGGUUCAUGGAUGAUGUGUUCUGUCUUCUGCCCUUGCUCCUCUGGUUGCUAGGGGGUCUUUUUCUGCCUUCUGGUGGUCUUUGGGAUGAAGGCCCCAAGUCUUCCUCUUUGACCACUGGGUGAACCUUCCCUUAUAAGGCAUAUCUAUAAAAUAAAAUUCUCCAAGGCACUAUAGGUUUUCUGCAAGCUAAGCAAUUCUCUCGAGGUUAAGGAUUGUUACAGCCUUUACCAAAUGUGGCUGCACAUAGUUAUGGAUUGUAUCCCGCUGAACAAGCAGUUUUAACUAUUUAGCUGUUGCUUUUAUAUUGUAAAAUUAUUUAGCUAUUGAAUUAAUUAAUGAACAAACAUAUUGCUGCUUAUUACAGACACUGACCCUUUGCUGAGCAGGGGCACGGGGACCUGGAGUGCCGGGUGGUUGGUGCCCGGUCACGCUGGGAUUCUGGGGGAGCCAGGAGCAGUGAGAGAGCCUGGGCCAAACAUCAGCACCAGUGAAUCAUGAUUUUAAAAGUUUAAGAUUUUAGCUGAGGGUUAGAACCAAUUCAUAUUGAAGUUAGAUACACCAGCGAUAGGUUAAUGAUUAUUAGAUGCUUAAGCUAAAGAUAAUUGUUAUAUUAUGAGCUCGUUUGUUGAAGGAAGUGGAGCAAGUGAACCAUUAUAGGAACAUAGUGAAACCAGUAGAACAAUGCCCAGCACCUGGACUCUGUGUCAAUCCAUCAGGAAGCAGGCAGCCUUGGAUCAUGCCAGAGGGUCACAGAGACCCGACGAAGACCUUCCUGACUUCAUCCCUGGGUCCAAUUCGAGACCAUUGACUCGAUUCAAGAGAAGAACUGUGCACACAUGAAAGACUAAUAACCUCAUUUUAAUACAAAGCUGGGAUGGGAGGUGCUGGGGUUCUGCAUAUGUAUAAUUUUUGGGAAAUAAAUAGAAGUCAAAAAUC